rnacentral:rRNA from 1 species
GACGAACGCUGGCGGCGUGCCUAAUACAUGCAAGUAGAACGCUGAAGGAGGAGCUUGCUUCUCUGGAUGAGUUGCGAACGGGUGAGUAACGCGUAGGUAACCUGCCUGGUAGCGGGGGAUAACUAUUGGAAACGAUAGCUAAUACCGCAUAAUAGUAGAUGUUGCAUGACAUUUGCUUAAAAGGUGCAAUUGCAUCACUACCGGAUGGACCUGCGUUGUAUUAGCUAGUUGGUGAGGUAACGGCUCACCAAGGCAACGAUACAUAGCCGACCUGAGAGGGUGAUCGGCCACACUGGGACUGAGACACGGCCCAGACUCCUACGGGAGGCAGCAGUAGGGAAUCUUCGGCAAUGGACGGAAGUCUGACCGAGCAACGCCGCGUGAGUGAAGAAGGUUUUCGGAUCGUAAAGCUCUGUUGUAAGAGAAGAACGAGUGUGAGAGUGGAAAGUUCACACUGUGACGGUAUCUUACCAGAAAGGGACGGCUAACUACGUG